rnacentral:rRNA from 1 species
CUUUGGGAUAACCCUCGGAAACGGGGGCUAAUACCGGAUAUUACCUUGUACCGCAUGGUGUGGGGUGGAAAGUUUUUCGGCCUGGGAUGGGCUCGCGGCCUAUCAGCUUGUUGGUGGGGUGAUGGCCUACCAAGGCGACGACGGGUAGCCGGCCUGAGAGGGCGACCGGCCACACUGGGACUGAGACACGGCCCAGACUCCUACGGGAGGCAGCAGUGGGGAAUAUUGCACAAUGGGCGGAAGCCUGAUGCAGCGACGCCGCGUGAGGGAUGAUGGCCUUCGGGUUGUAAACCUCUUUCAGCAGGGACGAAGCGCAAGUGACGGUACCUGCAGAAGAAGCGCCGGCCAACUACGUGCCAGCAGCCGCGGUAAGACGUAGGGCGCGAGCGUUGUCCGGAUUUAUUGGGCGUAAAGAGCUCGUAGGCGGCUUGUCGCGUCGACCGUGAAAACUUGGGGCUCAACCCCAAGCCUGCGGUCGAUACGGGCAGGCUAGAGUUCGGUAGGGGAGACUGGAAUUCCUGGUGUAGCGGUGAAAUGCGCAGAUAUCAGGAGGAACACCGGUGGCGAAGGCGGGUCUCUGGGCCGAUACUGACGCUGAGGAGCGAAAGCGUGGGGAGCGAACAGGAUUAGAUACCCUGGUAGUCCACGCUGUAAACGUUGGGCGC